rnacentral:misc_RNA from 1 species
ACAACCCUACCGUCAUUGUUAUUAAAACGCGAGAAAAAAGCAAAGAAGAAGAUGCACAAUCCACCACCACCUGAUCCCCACCAUCCACCACCACCGCACGCGCCUCAUCCAGGUCCUCCUCAUCACGAACCACCUCCUCCUCAUCACGAACCACCACCGCCUCAUCAUGGCCACCCUCCUCCGGGACCCCAAGCGCCACCACCAGGCCCUCCAGAACCUCACAAACCACCACCUCCUCACCACCACCACUGAUCCUCCUCAUGUUAUGCCUAUCAUAUAUAUAUAGCAGCGUGCUAGCUAUAUAUAUAGCUUUUGCUUUUGUUUUUUACUCUUGUUAAAUUUCCUA